CCUACGGGUGGCAGCAGUGAGGAAUAUUGGUCAAUGGCCGUAAGGCUGAACCAGCCAAGUCGCGUGAAGGAAGAAGGAUCUAUGGUUUGUAAACUUCUUUUAUAGGGGAAUAAAGGUAUCCACGUGUGGAUAUUUGCAUGUACCCUAUGAAUAAGCAUCGGCUAACUCCGUGCCAGCAGCCGCGGUAAUACGGAGGAUGCGAGCGUUAUCCGGAUUUAGUGGGUUUAAAGGGUGCGUAGGUUGUUUUUUAAGUCAGCGGUGAAAGUUUGUGGCUCAACCAUAAAAUUGCCGUUGAAACUGGAAGACGUGAGUGUGUGUGAGGUAGGCGGAAUGCGUGGUGUAGCAGUGAAAUGCAUAGAUAUCACGCAGAACUCCGAUUGCGAAGGCAGCUUACUAAGCCAUAACUGACACUGAAGCACGAAAGCGUGGGGAUCAAACAGGAUUAGAUACCCGAGUAGUC
rnacentral:rRNA from 1 species